rnacentral:rRNA from 1 species
GUCUAUGGCCAUGCCUCCCUGAACAAGCCCGAUCCCGUCUGAUCUCGGAAGCUAAGCAGGGUCGGACCUGGUUAGUACUUGGAUGGGAGACCACUUAGGAAUACCAGGUACCGUAGGUG